AAAUGCUUUGAGAGGAAAGUAAACUUCAGUGAGAAAUUAAUUGGAGUAAAAUUAAUUUAUUGAUUCCAAUCAUCGUGAACCUCUUGUGCUGGCUCCGGAUGCUGGAAACGCAGAAAUACGUCCGCCGAGAAAUUGAAAGAAUUGUCUGCUGCUCUGGAUAUUUCUCGGUGUGAUACUGCCAUCAGCCAGCAAUUUAACUUCCAUUAAAUAAAGAGGAUUUAAAAGGGUACAACGAACAACAUUUUACUAUUACGACAAACUUCGAAAGCUCGUACAACAAAAACUGCUAACA